rnacentral:lncRNA from 1 species
CUGGAAUCAAGAAGUGAGGAGGCCAGAUGAGGAAACUGAGGGGUGAAGAGUUUAAGUCGUCUGCCCAAAACUAGCAGUGGGAGAGUGAUGCAGCCAGGAUUUAAACCCAGGUAGCCCAAAUACGGCAUCUACAAUCUAUCUCAAAUCUAUGGCAUCACAGAUGAGCUGGUGUCCACCUUUCCCUGAAGGAGUUGAAGGAGCUUUUAUAGAAGAAGUGAUAUCUGAACUGGACCUUAGAGAGUAAGUAAAAUUCUGCCAGAUAAAGAAUAUGUAAAAG